GGGUUUCAGGGUUAGAUCUUGAAAAAGAGGGUUAGAUCUUGAAACUUUUUCAAGAUCAUACAGCGGAAGAUUAAAAUAAAUCAAAAUUUAUUUUCUAAGAUCAGAAAAUCCCUAGAUCUAAGAUCCUAUUACAUGAUUAUUACAUGGCAUUAAAUCAGAAAUUAAAAUAUAUAAAUAUAGCAUGAACUACAUGUUGAUCAUAUCAACAUGUUUCUAUACUACAUCUAAUGUAUGUAUUAAACAAUAGAUCAGAUAUAUUACUUUGCAAGUUAGACGUUCUAACCUUGUUGAUCUGGGCUUGAGGAUGAUGUUGCAAGCCGCACAUGCGUCUGGCCUCUAAGAGUCAUCCACACGAGCCCACGAAUCUCGAUCAGAAGUCCUGCUUCAGGAAAUCAGCACAGUAUGCUAGUACUGCGCUGAUUCUUCUUUGAUGGUUGAUCAGGUGUCUCCUUCUUCUUGAUUUAGACUCUUCCAAAGAUGGAAAGUAAAAGGAGGAGUUUCAGAUCUGAGACACUCUCAGAAAACUCAAGAUGGAGGGAGGAAAGAUAUGAAAACAAAAAACCAAGAAGAAGACCCUCUUCUUCUUCACAUUUUUCUCUCUAGACACCCAAACUUGUAUCUUUUAUAUCUCCACGACCCAAAGGUAUUUCUCUCUGAUUUUUGGAUGGCACAAAGGUCUCUCAAAUCUCU
rnacentral:lncRNA from 1 species